rnacentral:rRNA from 1 species
CCUACGGGUGGCAGCAGUGGGGAAUAUUGGGCAAUGGGCGCAAGCCUGACCCAGCAACGCCGCGUGAAGGAAGAAGGCUCUCGGGUUGUUAACCUCUUUUAAGAGGGAAGAGCAGAAGACGGUACCUCUUGAAUAAGCCACGGCUAACUACGUGCCAGCAGCCGCGGUAAUACGGAGGUGGCCAGCGUUGUCCGGAUUUACUGGGUGUAAAGGGCGUGCAGCCGGGAAGACAAGUCAGAUGUGAAAGCCCGCGGCUCAACCGCGGAACUGCAAUUGAUACUGUUUUUCUUGAGUACCGGAGAGGUCGUCGGAAUUCCUGGUGUAGCGGUGAAAUGCGUAGAUAUAAGGAAGAACACCGGUGGCGAAGGCAGAUGACUAGACGGCAACUGACAGUGAGGCGCGAAAGCGUGGGGAGCAAACAGGAUUAGAUACCCGGGUAGUC